AAUGCUAAUGACAUCACAAUAAUGUGCCUACACCAGAGUAUGGAAUUAGCCUACAAAGGUUCAGGCAAAAAGUGUUUUGCACUCUAAUGCAGAACAAACAACUAAUGCUUUAGUUUCUCCCCACUGUUCUGCUAAAGCAUUUCUCAAAAGAAGACAUCUGAAACUAGAAAUUGCAAAUUUGACUUGUUUUAUAUGGUCCUCAUUGAGAAAGAAAGGAUCCCAGUUUGAAGAAAAAGUUCUCUCCCUUUGCUAUGUGGCUUCUAGAGGAGGAAAACAGAUUCAAAACAGUAAACAAUGCAACAUCAAAACAGAACUCUUCAGCCUCAAGAAAAGGAAUCAUCAUAAGCAAUGUCGUUGCCAUAGCAGCCAUGCACAGGAUUACUGAGAACACUGCAAGUAAAUUAAUGAUUGCAUGCACAAUGACUAAACAAAGGUGGAGAACGAAAAAGACACCAACACAGUCC